AUCCACCCAAGACCCGGUUCCUCGAUUCCCAUCCUUACGACCGAGGAAAAAAGAGUAAAUUUUCCUAUUAUAGCCUUCUCUCGCACCUUCCCCGCUUCCCACCAGCCGUCUCCACUGUCCUCACCGUCCCCAUCCUCAUCCAUGGCGAAAUCUUCGCCCCCAGCCUCGUGAAGAUCUAGCACGUCCGCCAUCUCGCCUUCGAUCGAGAUCUCGUCUGUGCCGCUCAGACACUAGGUACCUCGGGAAACUGUCGCAGAGGGGAAAGGUCGCCAGUCAAGCUGACCAAUCAAAGGCUAACUCUAAAUCCCUCCCUCUGCACGGUAAAAACACGCAAAUUGGGGCGGGCCUAGUGCGGAAAGAUACCGGAAGUGUUUCUGUGGCCAUCUUGAACAGAUCGCAAGCUAAAUCAUCCAUCUUAGGAGGUACAGACUACAGGGGGCCGUGGCUUCCUCUUAACCGCGGCAGCUGCUGAUAAAUACUGUACUAUUAACAGUGAGGCCCGGCGUAAUUUCCUUAUUAGAGGGCUUCUUUACGUCUCUUCAUCCCAAACUGGGAAAUGCUUGCUGGCCUGCUCUAUAGUGCUGUUGCUUAAAAAGUCAUCUGUGAAGAAAACCAGAGGGAGAAAUUUCACCUGCCAAAGUGGAUAAAGAGUUCAGAUCUGCCAAGAAGACACCAAGAUGGGAUAGACAAUUGCAAGAGAUUUAUCAGGGAGGAAGUAGGAGACAACAGGGAGAGCCUUCUGAGCACAGCAAAGAUCUCAUGCCUGUGGAAGAGAGGGAAAGAAGGAGGUCUAGAUAU
rnacentral:lncRNA from 1 species